AAGUAGUAAUGUCAGUUGUGUGGAGACUUUUCAAAAAAAAUGACGGUGAUAAAAGUAACACUGACUGACAGUAACGUUACAGACACAGAC